rnacentral:rRNA from 1 species
UAACGCGAAGAACCUUACCAGGUCUUGACAUCUUUUGACCACCUGAGAGAUCAGGUUUUCCCUUCGGGGACAAAAUGACAGGUGGUGCAUGGCUGUCGUCAGCUCGUGUCGUGAGAUGCUGGGUUAAGUCCCGCAACGAGCGCAACCCUUGUUGUCAGUUGCCAUCAUUCAGUUGGGCACUCUGGCGAGACUGCCGGUGACAAACCGGAGGAAGGUGGGGAUGACGUCAAGUCAUCAUGCCCCUUAUGACCUGGGCUACACACGUGCUACAAUGGACGAUACAACGAGUCGCGAAAUCGCGAGGUCAAGCUAAUCUCUUAAAGUCGUUCUCAGUUCGGAUUGCAGGCUGCAACUCGCCUGCAUGAAGUCGGAAUCGCUAGUAAUCGCGGAUCAGCAUGCCGCGGUGAAUA